UGCUCAGCUUUGCGUGGCUGGCGGUGUCUGAGCUCUGACCCUUGAGCUCCUGAAGCGCCUGCUCAUGACUGCACCCGUGCUCCAAAGGCCCUGACCACUGACACCUGUGCUCCUGAACACCGGCACCCGCAUUACUUCCCAGCUCCAGUUCCUAGAGAAGCCAGGCCUCUGCUUCCCUUUUCUGGUCCCUUCUUUCAUGGGGGAAGCCCUCACUUCAGAAGAGGAAUGACAGCAGUCCCGCGGGUGGGGGUGGGGGCUGGCAGCAGCUCUGAGGGCAGACCUUGAUUUUCAGGCCCAGGAGGAAUGCUGGUCCUCCCAGGUCUGAGAGGAAGAAGGCGGUACCCUGGGCGAUGACCACAUCACAGAGGAAAUAAGAGGGCACUGAUAUGAGAACCACACACCCCUUGGAACACAGACCUACCAGCUUACAGGAGUACUUGUUCGCCAGCUCCUGUUCCCAGAAGGGACAUCUUCUGAAUGGAGACACAGGUGAUCCCGCCAGGUCCGUCUUUAUUGAACCUUCAUCUGUUGGAUCGUUGCUCCCUGAAAUAAAAUGGAGUUCCAUCAAGUUCUUGUCCUGUCAGAUGUGUGGUGCCUGAGCUGUGAAGAGAGAUAACUGCAUCAGGAAUCCUGGACUGACAGGAAAAUGCAGGUCACUGGCUUCCUUUCUGAAUGACACAUUUCAGGCUAAAAAUGGAAGGGGAAAGGAUCGUGGGCCCCCCUCAUAGUGCUGGCUGGCAGGGAAGGGUCCCACCUGGGCCAGAGCACACCAAUUUUAUUUGAAAUGAUUUCUCCAGGACUUAUGAAAGAUUUCCUUGGACUAGAAUGGGCUGCCAUGAGCCCCACUGAUUGCGCUUUGAUGCAAAAUCAGCCACACUGACCUGAGGCUUUAUCUCUCCCCUCUUUACGGUCUGCUCAGUUCUGAUGAAUUCUGACCCGGAAUUCUGGCAGCUUCCGGGUCAGAAUUUCACACACCCACCUGCGGCUUCCUCAGUUCCUAUGUGCACCUGGCUGAGCUCAGCUACUGUGGUCUCUCGGGGUUUUGGCUCCUGGAGGUCAGCAGCUUCUUUGGAUUCCUGGGCACCAUUCCUCAGGGCGGAUGGUUGUGCUCAGCCAUCAUCACACAGUGAGCCACACACAAUAGCGGACCCUCCCUGGGGGUUGCUCCCUCUCUGUGGUACCCCUGUGGUUAUUGCUGAGACUUACACUCAGGACUGGGGAGUUGGGGAUACUGCCCCAGCAACCAUUGCUCCUGAACUCUGAGCACCUGACCCUGAACUUGGAGAAAUUCCUACUGGGUAUUUCCAGUAUGCUGUAUCAACACCCUGCCUGGAGGACUCUUGGACACACACGGGGCAGGAGUGCUGAGGGUGAUGCUCAAGCCUUCCUUCCACGGAUGCUCUCUGUGCCCCUGUCCCAGAGCACACUGUUAUCUGGUCUGUGGAGGGCGCUGAGAUAGUCAACCACUGACCAUCUGUUCCAGCCCUGAGCAGCUUCUCACUGAGACAGCCCAGUUAGGCCAGCUGCUCCAGAGUCCAGACUGACCUGGGUAUAUCUGCUCUCUGGCUGCUGCUGCUGCUGCUGCUGCUGCUGCUGCUGCUGCUGCUGCUGCUGCUGCUGUUCCCAAAGCAAUGUUUCUCAAAGUGUGGUCCUGAAACCACAUCCUAGGGCACUUGGGAGCCAGAUUCCUCAUCCUUGGGUGACUCGGAGGAGGCCAGAAAUCUAGCACUUCAACCACCUUUCUAGAACCUGCCGGGUGACAGCUAUAAAUCUAGGCAGGUGUGUGUGUGUGCACGCAUGCAUGUGUGCUGCACACAUGAGCUCCCAUGUGGAGGAGAAGGUGGGAUGCCAGGCAUCUUCUUCUGUUGUCCAGCUUCUUGCCUCGAGACAUGGUCUUUCAGUGUACACUGGAAGCAUGAUGUUUUGUCUAGGCUUGCUGGCCAGUGAGCCAGCCAGAUCUGCCUGUCUCUGCUCCUUAAUGCUGGGUUUACAGACAGACGUGUGCAGCUGUGCCUGGCUACUUCUGUGGGUGCCUGGGAUUCAAUUUUAGACCCACACUCUAACCACCUAGAUACCCUAAAUAGUCUAUUUUCUUUUCCUCCCUCUCUCCUUCCUCCCCUCCAUCCUUCUUUUCUUCUUUUCUCCUCCCUUCCUUUCCCUCUCCUUCUAUUCUGAGACCACCAACGUUCUCUAUUUCAACAUGACAAAUGACUGUCUUGCAACCCAGAUGUCACGCUAUAGUAUAGUGUCUAGACACUGAUGGCUUCUCCAUCCUAGACCGGACUUCUGUAUCGAUCAGUUACCCCCUGCAAGGCUCAGGGAACAUCUCAGAAGUGGGUGAGGGGGAAAAAAAUGUAAGAGCCGGAGAGUAGGGAGGAUUGCCGCGGACUGCUGUCUUCUGGACAGCAGAUGGCCAUUGCACUGAGGAGCUCACAAUUGCACAAACACACACGCAAGAUGGAGCCUCAGAAGCAUCCAGUGUGGAUGGGGGAGGGGCUCACAAGGCCCUACCCUUGGCUUAGGAGUUAUUAGCCAGAGGAGCAAGAGUCACUUUUCUCUGGAGAUGUGGCAGGUUGCUUGUGCUACAGGGAAUGGCCCUCACUUGGGUGCACAUGGUGAGAACACACUGGAUGGACUUAAGAGGGGUGUGUUUCAAGACUAUCUGGAGGGAGCAGGUAGAUAUGAUGAAAAUGUAUACAUGUAUGAAAUUCUCAAAGGAUAAAUAAUAUAUAUAGAUACAAAUGAUCGUAAGAAUAUAAAAAGUACAUUUGUCAUGAGACAUCAAAAGGAAAACUCUUGAGUGCCUGAAACAUGGAGUACUUGGUCUCUUCCUGUGUCUUUUUCAUGUCGCAGCCAUGAGGUGAACAGCUUUGCUCCAGCACACACUCCACACCAUGACACUCUGCUUCAACACAGCCCCAGAAGCAGUGGGGCAAAACCAUAGAAGUUUAUAAAACCCAAAAUGCAAGCCAAGGUAAGCCUUUUCAAUAUUUAAGUUGAUCAGAGCAGGUAUUUUGUUACAGUAACAGAGAGCUGACUGAGACAAAGCUUAUGUAUCCACUCUUGAGGAUACAAUGGAGAUACCUUCUUACUGUUGCCAAAUCCCCAGGCAUCAGUUCCUGUUCUGAGUUACAUCACUCAGGAAAGCUUUCUGGCUUGCCUUUUGUCCUUUCUACAUCUUCCUCACCCCUCCCAGUAUGUCCUGUUCUCCUUUUGAAGAGGUUUGAUGGUGUACCACACCCUCCUGAAUCAAAUCCAGAUUCUGAAGCCUGGCAUUAGCAAGCUCUUCAGGCUUGACAUCUAUCUCUCAAAGCCAGUCCUCAAGGCCUCCACAUUGUUAGCCCUACCUCUCAGGUCAGAUGCAAGCUACACCCCAAGGUGAAUCCUCUCCCAACAAGGAUUCUGGGCGUCCCUUUUUAACUGGCAGAACUAUGGGGCCCCAAGACACCCACACUCUAAUCUUCAUAUACUGUGACUCUGCUACCUUACAAGGCAGGAGGGACCUCGGCACAGGGAGAGCCUUCUCCUGAUGUCAAACAAUCACAAGAGUUCUUGAAAACAGGUGGCUGAACUCAGCUCAGAGAAGGACUUGGUUUAUACUGUGCUGGCUUUGAAGACAGAAUAUGGGGCUGUAAGCCCAGGAAUAUAGGUGGCCUUUAGAUGCUGGAAAAUUCCUCCAGCCUGCAGUUAGAGACCUCUACAGAAGCCGUGACCUCAGUCUGGUGAAAACUGAUGGGGUUUCCCUGGUUGUCUGUCAUAGCUAAAAUGAAUGUCGGGCUAAAGCGCUCAGGCAGGAGCCGGGUACUAUAGGGAAGAUAACUAAGAGGCUUGCAGCUGGGUAUGAACUAGCUAAGCUGGCUGGGUAAGAGGAAGGACAGGAUUCAAUUAAAAUAAGUCAAGUCAGACUCUAGCUCCCACCCUCGCCACACACACAGCAGGGGCUUUACAAGGCACCUUGUCCUUCCUUUCCUCUGGCUAGCUUCUCAGUUUUAUGAACAGUUACACUUUAAAAAAAAAUAUUACUUUAUUUUCUGCAUAUGGGUAUUUUACCUGCAUGCACAGGUAUGAGCACUAUAUACAUGCCUCGUGUCAUGGAUUCCCCGGAGAACUGGAAUUACAGACAGCUGUGAGCUGCCAUUCGAGUGCUGGGAAUUGAACCUGGGUUCUAUAGAGGAGCAGCCAGUGCUCUAACUGCUGAGCCAUCUCUCCAGCCCCUGGAUAGUUAACACUUUUUGGUGUAUUCUUACAUCCGACUGUAACAGACAUUCUGAAUUGUGGGUAAGGACAGCUUGGCUCCUGGGAAAGCUUCUACCAAUACCAGGAAGGAGAUCACUCCAGACCAUUCAGGGGAGGAGAAAAAAACACCCCAAGAGUAGUAAGUCCAGAUGGCAUGGGUCUGCACUCAGCUCAGUCUGCUCUCACAGCACGGCUGUUGCUUAGCCAGCUGCUGAGCAUCCACACUGCCGGCCUGCUCUGUCAACCUGUGUCCUGGAGUGAAUUCCUUGGCAGUAUAGAGACUGCCAGGGCACUCGGAGGGGAUUCAAGAAUUUACCAGCCCCCAUGCAUACCAUCUAACCCAGCACAAUCCCCCUUCUGCAGUUCUGGACUCACUGCCGCUCAACAGAGUCCCAGUUGCUCCCUGACUACAGACAAUACUCUUCGAGCACAAGGCCACGAGAUUUUGUCUUUAUAACUUUUGAGUACUGGUUACCAAAAAUAGAUGUUUUAAAAAGUG